GGUAAUCCUAGACCCUGUGAAAUAAGCAUAAUCGGAUACCCUUUGAAUGGGGGGGAGUUGAAUGGACUAACGAGGGCGCGGUUGUCUUGGAUAAGGGUAAAUUGAAAUAGGAGUUACUGUAAAGAUACAGUAUAAUAUAGCAGGACGAGAAGACCCUAUGGAGCUUAACUAUAAACUAGUCAGGCACGAGGUUGCCAUAAUCUAAUAAGGGAAGAAAAAUUAGAGUAAUUAUUACUAUGAGUAUACCCUCAGCCAUAGUGUGCUAGUCUGGUAGUUUUGGUGGGGAGCCAGCAUGGUAAAAGCAACCUAGAGUUCGCAUAUGCAAAUUAAGAGAAGCCGGUGUAGAAAACAAACUUUCCCGGAUACAGAAGUAGGUAAAGUGACCCAACCUGUACUUAAUUAAUAAAAGGUUGACGAAGGAUAAUAGUUACCCUAGGGAUAACAGG
rnacentral:rRNA from 1 species